UACGUAGGGGGCUAGCGUUGUCCGGAUUUAUUGGGCGUAAAGAGCGCGUAGGCGGUCCGAUAAGUCGGCUGUGAAAGUCAAGGGCUCAACCCUUGAAAGCCGGCCGAUACUGUCGGACUAGAGUCCGGAAGAGGCGAGUGGAAUUCCCGGUGUGGCGGUGAAAUGCGCAGAUAUCGGGAGGAACACCAAUGGCGAAGGCGGCUCACUGGACCGGAACUGACGCUGAGGCGCGAAAGCUAGGGGAGCAAACGGG
rnacentral:rRNA from 1 species